UACUCCUACGGGAGGCAGCAGUGGGGAAUAUUGGACAAUGGGCGCAAGCCUGAUCCAGCCAUACCGCGUGGGUGAAGAAGGCCUUCGGGUUGUAAAGCCCUUUUGUUGGGAAAGAAAUCCAGCUGGUUAAUACCCGGUUGGGAUGACGGUACCCAAAGAAUAAGCACCGGCUAACUUCGUGCCAGCAGCCGCGGUAAUACGAAGGGUGCAAGCGUUACUCGGAAUUACUGGGCGUAAAGCGUGCGUAGGUGGUCGUUUAAGUCCGUUGUGAAAGCCCUGGGCUCAACCUGGGAACUGCAGUGGAUACUGGACGACUAGAGUGUGGUAGAGGGUAGCGGAAUUCCUGGUGUAGCAGUGAAAUGCGUAGAGAUCAGGAGGAACAUCCAUGGCGAAGGCAGCUACCUGGACCAACACUGACACUGAGGCACGAAAGCGUGGGGAGCAAACAGGAUUAGAUACCCUGGUAGUCCACGCCCUAAACGAUGCGAACUGGAUGUUGGGUGCAAUUUGGCACGCAGUAUCGAAGCUAACGCGUUAAGUUCGCCGCCUGGGGAGUACGGUCGCAAGACUGAAAC
rnacentral:rRNA from 1 species